UCUUUAUACGGUAGCAGUUGAAGACGCCAGUACUGUUUUUGUAUCUAGUCAAGAACAGUCACAUCGUUCGUUUCCGCCUCUUUCCAGAAUAUUCUUCAGCCUUUUUUUUCAGCACUCUCGUGAAAAAUCAUGCAAUCGAAUAACCGACCAUCGUCAUACGGAAGUAGUCCCGCAAUUCGGUUGGAAUGUGUAGUUCCUAUACUCAGCCCUACAGUGUGCAAAAAUCGGCAGUGGAAAAAAAUGUGCUCAUUGUGCUGAUCUGCACAAUGCCAAAUUCAUGACUACACAGUAUUAGAAGACUCUUCUCUUAAGGACAUUUGUAGCUGUGGACUUUCUUUAGAUGACUCUUUUAUCGUAAAUAUUUUCCUGCUUGUUGGAACAAGGAACAUAGGAUGUCUUGAGGCCAACCAAGUGUCAUCGGAAAGAUUGUAAAAAGAUGUUUAAGCAGGAAAAACCUAAAGUUGGAGGACGAUACAUUUGUUUCUCCUUACUAGUUUUGUAAAACAAAUGAGCUCUGCAUCAGAACGACACACUGGGGAGGUCUUGCAAACAAAGAGAGCCAUUUUCGUUGAGACACAUGAUCCCUUUUACAGUAGACACGUGAUUUUAAUCUGCUGUCCAAUGAAGCAAAGCAGCAAAAUAAUUCUAUAUAAAUUUAAAAAAUGCCAUUUUUGUUAUACCUGUUUGGCUUUGUAAAAGUGAUACCAAUUUACAACGCAGUCGUGCCCGCUGUAAAUAUCAUCUAUCACCCAUGGCUUUGUGGAUGGGUGGCUGCCUGGGAAGCUGAAGAUUUGGAAUCAAUCUCCACAAGGAGAAAGCCCAUUACCCAAAGGCAUGUGAAAUGGCGAUGCAUGCUUUUUCGCGACUGGGUGUGUCGCGGCAACCUUGUUUUAGCACUGCCAACUAAGAUUAUUUUGUGAAAUUCUUGUUUUAUUUCAAUUGCGUACGUGAUUUACGUCUCAACUAAUUUCAUCUUUUAUCAUUUAAUUCACCCUAACCGCCUUUGAAAAUAUGCAAUAAAAUACGCGUCCUGUGUA